rnacentral:rRNA from 1 species
UACGUAGGGGGCAAGCGUUGUCCGGAAUCAUUGGGCGUAAAGAGCGUGUAGGCGGCCCGGUAAGUCCGCUGUGAAAGUCCAGGGCUCAACCCUGGAAUGCCGGUGGAAACUGUCGAGCUAGAGUCCGGAAGAGGCGAAUGGAAUUCCUGGUGUAGCGGUGAAAUGCGCAGAUAUCAGGAGGAACACCGGUGGCGAAGGCGGUUCUCUGGGCCUUACCUGACACUGAGGAGCGAAAGCGUGGGGAGCGAACAGG